rnacentral:rRNA from 1 species
CCUACGGGGGGCUGCAGUGGGGAAUAUUGGACAAUGGGGGGAACCCUGAUCCAGCCAUGCCGCGUGUGUGAAGAAGGCCCUCGGGUUGUAAAGCACUUUCAGUGAGGAAGAACGCCUGGUGGUUAAUACCCAUCAGGAAAGACAUCACUCACAGAAGAAGCACCGGCUAACUCCGUGCCAGCAGCCGCGGUAAUACGGAGGGUGCGAGCGUUAAUCGGAAUUACUGGGCGUAAAGCGCGCGUAGGUGGCUUGAUAAGCCGGUUGUGAAAGCCCCGGGCUCAACCUGGGAACGGCAUCCGGAACUGUCAGGCUAGAGUGCAGGAGAGGAAGGUAGAAUUCCCGGUGUAGCGGUGAAAUGCGUAGAGAUCGGGAGGAAUACCAGUGGCGAAGGCGGCUUUCUGGACUGAAACUGACACUGAGGUGCGAAAGCGUGGGUAGCAAACAGGAUUAGAUACCCUUGUAGUC